UGGGGAAUCUUGCGCAAUGGGCGAAAGCCUGACGCAGCGACGCCGCGUGAGUGAUGAAGGCCUUCGGGUUGUAAAGCUCUGUGGGGAGGGACGAAUAAGUGUUGGAUAAUACCCAAUGCGAUGACGGUACCUCCUUAGCAAGCACCGGCUAACUCUGUGCCAGCAGCCGCGGUAAGACAGAGGGUGCAAACGUUGUUCGGAAUUACUGGGCGUAAAGCGUGUGUAGGCGGCUUCGCAAGUCGGAUGUGAAAGCCCCGGGCUCAACCCGGGAAGUGCACUCGAUACUGCGGAGCUUGAGUGUCGGAGAGGUUGGUGGAAUUCUCGGUGUAGAGGUGAAAUUCGUAGAUAUCGAGAGGAACACCGGUGGCGAAGGCGGCCAACUGGACGAACACUGACGCUG
rnacentral:rRNA from 1 species